AUGGAGAACAAACUCGAUGACCUAAGAGCAAGAGUCACCUUCCAACGUGACAUGAGGGACUGCAACAUUCUGUGCUUCACGGAGACAUGGCUGACCCCCACCGUGCCGGACCAGGCCGUAACUCCGUCGGAUUCAUUCUUUGUGCUCCGCGCGGACAGAACGGCAGAGUCGAACAAAACAAAAGGUGGAGGAGUGUACUUCAUGGUAAACAGAAAGUGGUGUGAUGCCAGGAGCAUUUCUACUCUUUCCAGCAGCUGCUCGCCACAUCUGGAAUUCCUGAGCAUUAAGUGCCGCCCUUUCUAUCUGCCCCGUGAGUUCAACUCGGUCAUCGCCACGGCAGUCUACAUCCCACCCCAAGCGGACACAGGUAUGGCUUUGUCCGAACUACAUGAUGUGCUGAGUUCGCUUCAAAACAAAGAUCCGGGCGCAGCCCUCAUUGUAGCAGGAGACUUUAAUAAAGCGAACCUCAGACAAGUCAUGCCAAACUUUUACCAGCAUGUCUCGUGUCCAACGAGGGGGGACCGAAUUUUGGAUCACUGCUACACACCAUACAAGCAGGGCUACAAAGCCGUCUCACACCCGGCUUUUGGGAAGUCUGACCACAACGCCAUCUUCCUCAUCCCCCAGUAUAAACAAAACAUACGGAGGGAAGAAGUAACCACAAGGGAGGUGAAACGGUGGUCUGCCCAAUCAGAAGCUACGCUACAGGACGCACUCGACGACGUCGACUGGGACAUGUUCAGAGCAUGCGCAGUCAACAUCAAUGAGUUUACGGAAGUAGCAGUAAGCUUCGUCAACAUGCUAGCGGAGGAGAUUAUCCCCACUGCGAGAGUCACCACAUUCCCUAACCAGAAACCGUGGAUGGACAGAUCGAUCCGCGCUGCAGUAAACGCCAGGACCACCACCUACAACGCGGGUCUUGCCACUGGCGAUAUGAGCGCCUACAAAGCGGCAUCAUACGGCGUGCGGCACGCGGUGAGAGAUGCCAAACGCCGGUACCGGGAGCGUGUGGAGUCCCGCUUCCACCAGGGCAACACACGGAGUAUGUGGCACGGACUACGCACCAUUACGGACUACAAACCCAGGGACACUGCGCCGAUCAACGCCGACUCUGCAUUCACCAAUGAGCUGAACCAGUUCUACGCCCGUUUCGAGGUUAGCCAGGUGGCUAAUGCCAUCUACCGCUGGACUACCGAGGACAAUGACGUCAUCAACGACAGACCGGUGACCAGCUUCGCGGAGCAUGAUGUCCGAGCGGCAUUGAGGAGAGUGAACACAAGGAAAGCGGCGGGGCCAGACGGCAUCACCGGCCGUCUGCUGCGCUGCUGUGCUGACCAGCUAGCAGGUGUGUUCACUUACAUCUUCAACGAGUCCCUGGCGAAGUCUGUGGUCCCCACAUGCUUCAAAAGAUCCACCAUCAUCCCGGUGCCCAAGAACAGCAAACCCUCAUCCCUGAACGAUUACCGGCCAGUUGCGCUGACCUCGGUAGUCAUGAAGGUGUUUGAGAGGCUGCUGAAGAACAUCAUCUCCUCCUCCAUCCCAGACUCCACAGAUCCGCUCCAGUUCGCCUACCGACCCAACAGAUCCACUGAAGACGCCAUCGCCCAUGUCCUGGACACCACCCUCAGCCACGUGGACAAGAAACAGGGUAACUAUGUGAGAAUGCUGUUUGUUGAUUACAGUUCAGCGUUUAACACAAUAGUGCCCAGCAGACUGUUCACAAAGCUGAGGGACCUGGGACUCAACAGCCGUCUGUGUGCAUGGGUGUUGGACUUCCUCACCGGCAGAACUCAGGUGGUGAGGGUGGGUGUGUCUCCGACAGCAUCACCAUCAACACAGGAGCACCACAGGGGUGUGUCCUCUCGCCACUGCUCUACUCCCUCUACACUUCGGACUGUGUGGCCACCCACAGCUCCAACACCAUUGUGA
ensembl:lncRNA